rnacentral:rRNA from 1 species
GUGGGGAAUAUUGCACAAUGGGGGAAACCCUGAUGCAGCAACGCCGCGUGAGUGAUGAAGGCCUUCGGGUUGUAAAGCUCUGUCUUCAGGGACGAUAAUGACGGUACCUGAGGAGGAAGCCACGGCUAACUACGUGCCAGCAGCCGCGGUAAUACGUAGGUGGCAAGCGUUGUCCGGAUUUACUGGGCGUAAAGGGAGCGUAGGCGGAUACUUAAGUGGGAUGUGAAAUACCUGGGCUUAACCUGGGUGCUGCAUUUCAAACUGGAAGUCUAGAGUGCAGGAGAGGAGAAUGGAAUUCCUAGUGUAGCGGUGAAAUGCGUAGAGAUUAGGAAGAACACCAGUGGCGAAGGCGACUCUCUGGACUGUAACUGACGCUGAGGCUCGAAAGCGUGGGGAGCAAACAGGAUUAGAAACCCCAGUAGUCC